CUCCUUUCAUCAUAAAAAUUAUUUUCUUACAAUUUGGAUUAAAUCUUCAAAUAUAUUUUUGAACUUCGGGUGUCUCAUUCUGUAUCCUCUUUUUUUUCUUAGUUUACCCAGCCAAGAUGCUGCUUUGCCAAAAACCAGCGAUACUCAUCCGCAAUCCUCUGCUCUUAAUUCAAUAACACAGAAGGAUUUUGAAGAUCUUGGCCUUAAAUUCCAGCCUGAAAAUUUACUCCAGAGCUUGAUGAAAGAUCAGAGUUCAUUAUAUGAAAAAUAUAAUCCGUUAAAGAAGCAAGCUGACUGCACAAACUUUAAGACCGAGUUACUACAACAGAGGUUAGAGGAUCUUGAAAAGGAGUUACAAGUGUUUCGGAAGGAGAAUGCAAAGUUGUUGCAACAGAAACAAGAGUUAGAAUCAGAGCGAGCUACUUUUAAAAACAGAAGCGAGAGUUCGAAACCCGGGUAAAGAAGUUUCACGAGGAAGAUGAAGCGCGACUAGCAGAAGAACGUAAGAAGUUGCAGAAAGAACGGCUGGUCUUGAGAGGUACACGAAAGAAGUGCGGAGUAAACCAAGUAAGCAGGAGCAAGAAGAGAUCAAGAUGCUUAAGAAUGAGGUUCGUUUAACUCAUUUCAGAAGUUAUGCAUUAAUUAGUGCACUGCAAUAGAAACCAAGAAUUUGCAACUUUUUCUUUAGAAAGUACCUCCAUUGAGAGGACUAUUUGCAUAUAUCUUUUAAAUUCAAGAAAGUGUACUGCGCAAAAGUUGUCUCUUGGUGUUGAACUAAAUGGUGCAAAAGCAGGGUCUCUGCCGGUCUUAAAAAUCUCAUAAGUCAGGGAAUUUUGCAAACAACGUUUAACAAAACUCAGCAUAAUUAGAAGGAUAGGUAAUGUAUCUAAAUGGUCCCUCAACGGUCAGGGAAUUGAAAAAUUUUGAAGUCAGGGAAGAGCGAAAAAGUCAAGGAAUCAGAAAAUGAGCAAAAUUAUGAAACCCUGAUCGUGAUUUGUUGAAUAUUGGUUUCCUAUGAAACCGUGAACGGGCCAAAGAUAGGAUUUUACAAGAAAUGCAAUGAGAAAUCAAAGAAUCUGCAUUGUUCUUUUUAACUGUAUAAUUGGGCCUCGAACCAGUUUUUCUUCUUACAUGAUUCUAUAGAUGUUUUAUCUGUUCUAUCUUUCUAUGUCUCCCUCUUAAGGAGCACAAGAUUUAGUUACAGAGUUUGCAACCAGUUACUUUGUAUAUUCUCAGUCCACUUCCUUUGCUCUAGGUUACAGAAUUGAAAAAAGAAUUGGAACGCAAAGAGGCUAAAUGGGGAUCAACUUUAGCUCGACUUCGCAACCAGAUGAAAGUAAUGGAGAAGGAUAAUAACCACCUUAAAGAGGAAGUAAUCACUUUGCAAAAAGGGUCAGCACAGAAACAGGUGAGAUCUAUCAAACAUGAGACUUCAGAAGUAAAUCAGGUAAAAUCCACAUCCUGAUUUAUUUUAGGAAAUAUGCAUUACCCCUUGUAGCAUUUUUCGCCCUCUGAGUAUCAAAUUGCAGGAAAAUGCACUCUCCAAACCCCAAUUUUCUGGAGUUUGGCAUAUGGAAAGUUCUAUUCUUAAAGCUCAUCUUAUUCAGAAGAUCGUAAGGAACAUCAUGUCAAAAAAUCUCGAAGUUUAGCUGGCAUCUAAUUUUUA
rnacentral:lncRNA from 1 species